AUUAUUGCAUAUUUUGGCAAAUACCAAUAAAGAUUUUUGCAUUAUAUAAUUUUUCUGCUUACUAUUAUAAGGGCAUAGUCACUUUAAAAACACAAAACACAGUAGUGUUGCAUUAAAUAAAAAUGAUGUCAAUCUCUUUAACCAAGAUAAAUGUGUAUAUUUUACAGGAACAGCAAAGGGUACACAUCAAUCAUUUGUCUAUAUACCAAACACCUUUGCUGAUGUUAUUUUCUUUAUACAUGAGAAAUGAAAAGGCAGGAUACUAUAAGGCAGCUUUGUAAUGUAUGAAGGAUGUUAUUUUAUUUACAUUCAAACAUUUUGUUUGGUG